rnacentral:rRNA from 1 species
GGGCCCGCACAAGCGGUGGAGUAUGUGGUUUAAUUCGAUGCAACGCGAAGAACCUUACCAGGGUUUGACAUCCUGCGAAUCUCUUGGAAACGAGAGAGUGCCUUCGGGAACGCAGUGACAGGUGGUGCAUGGCUGUCGUCAGCUCGUGUCGUGAGAUGUUCGGUUAAGUCCGGCAACGAGCGCAACCCACAUCCCUAGUUGCCAGCAGUUCGGCUGGGCACUCUAUGGAAACUGCCCGUGAUAAGCGGGAGGAAGGUGUGGAUGACGUCAAGUCCUCAUGGCCCUUACGGGUUGGGCUACACACGUGCUACAAUGGUAGUGACAAUGGGU